rnacentral:rRNA from 1 species
GACGAACGCUGGCGGCGUGCUUAAUACAUGCAAGUCGAACGGACAGGCCCUGCUUUUGCUGCGUUCUCGAGUGCCGAACGCGUGUGUAACACGCGAGUAACCUCUCCCUGACUUUGGGAUAUCAUUUGGGAACUCGGGCUCUUACCGCAUAGGAUCUCUUGCAGCACGUGGGUGGAUGGAAAGAUUCGGCGGUUGGGGCUGGACUCGCGGGUUAUCCGCUUGAUAGUGGGGUAGUGGCUUACCAAGGGUUUGAAGGCUAGCCGGCCUGAGAGGGUGGACGGGCACAAUGGGACUGAGAUACGGCGCAGAAUCCUACGGGAGGCAGCAGUGGGGAGUCUUGCAGAAUGGGCGGAAGUCUGAUGCAGCAACGCCGCGUGCGGGAUGCCGGCCUUCGGGUGGUAAACCGAUGUGGACUGUGCCGAGGAGUGAGUGACGGUAAUGGGUAAAGAAGCAACGGCUAACUACGUG